rnacentral:rRNA from 1 species
GGUCAAGUUAUUAAGGGUGCAGGGCGGAUGCCUUGGCACUAGGAGCCGAUGAAGGACGUGAUAAGCUGCGAUAAGCUUCGGGGAGUUGCACGUAAACUUUGAU